rnacentral:rRNA from 1 species
AUUGAACGCUGGCGGCAGGCCUAACACAUGCAAGUCGAGCUAUCGGCGGACGGGUGAGUAAUGUCUGGGGACUGCCCGAUAGAGGGGGAUAACUCCUGGAAACGGUAGCUAAUACCGCAUACUAUCGGAUAACCCAUAUGGGAUUAGCUAGUAGGUGGGGUAAUGGCUCACCUAGGCGACGAUCCCUAGCUGGUCUGAGAGGAUGAUCAGCCACACUGGGACUGAGACACGGCCCAGACUCCUACGGAGGCAGCAGUGGGGAAUAUUGAACAAUGGGCGCAAGCCUGAUACAGCCAUGCCGCGUGUAUGAAGAAGGCCAUAGGGUUGUAAAGUACUUUCAGUCGGGAGGCGUUACCGACAGAAGAAGCACCGGCUAACUCCGUGCCAGCAGCCGCGGUAAUUC